AAACUAUGACAUUAUUAUAUAUAAUAAAGUAGUUGCACCAGUAAUGUUUAGACUUUCUCUCUCUUCUUCCUGGAUCUUUAGGAGCAAUUAAGCCAAUGAGAAAUCAGACCCACACCCCAAUUCUGAUGUAACAGCCUUGGGAAAGAGGUUGCAGUGAAAAGCUGGUCCUGCUGUGGUGGAGAGAAUGGAGGAAAGAUAAUAAAAGGCCAAACCUUUGCUCCAACUUUCUCCUUAGCUUCCCUUUGGAUCUGGAAAGCUGGGGACCCACACGGCAGAGCCAUGGUACUGGAGGAGCCAUUAACAAAGCUUUCAAUAAACCUCUCUUUCUUGAAGUUACCUGAGAAUGGAUCCAUUCCCUGCAACUGAAGAUUCUAAGGAACUGGGUUUCUCAGUAUACAAUGGGAAUGGUUGGGAGGAGGUAAAGAGUAGAAGACAGUAUCAAGAAUCCAGAGCCCAGCACCUGUAGUCCUAACUAUUCAGAUUCCUUGAGCCCAGGAGUUUGAGUCCAGCCUGGACAACAUAUUGAGACCCCCAUCUCUCUAAAAAAAAAGAGAAAGAAAGAAGGAAAGAAAAAAAGAAAGAAAGAAAGAAAGAAAGAAAGAAAGAAAGAAAGAAAGAAAGAGAAAGAAAGAAGGAAAGAAGGAAAGAAGGAAAGAAAGAAAGAAAGAGAAAGAAAGAAAAGAAGAUUGUAGCUAGGGGGAGAGUAGGUGAAAAGAUGAACAACAUGACCGGGAAGAUUUCCUAAUCUCACCACAGCCUGGCUCUACCUUAAGUCUUUAAUAAAAGCUUGACUGAAGGUACCAAGGUGUGCUGAAGUGGAAGCAAAGUUCUCCAAAGUCCAGCAUGGUAGACAUCAGUGGUGGUAACCAAGGACAGACCCCAAGGCAAGGUGAACCUCAAAAAUGGAACCUCAAGUCUAUGCAGUCCAGCUGCCCUCCCCACCAGAAAGUCCUUGUUCCAGCCCAACAUCAGUGCCUCUGAGUUUGUUUACUAGAAACAAAGGAAGAAUUUCCUUGUAAAAAUAUAGACAGAGUAGUCCCUGGCUUUCUCCUCUUGCAGGAAGGAUGGAUUCUCCCAUUCCAUACCAUCUUUCCCCCACACUGGCCCCAGAAAUACUUAAUUCAACUAUGUGAAAAUAAAGAUUGUUUUUGGUUUGAGGGCAUAGGGAUCCAUUUAUCCUUAUUCUUUAUGAGGCACUAAAUUAGCUUUGUAUGUUAUUAAAUGUGUCUCGUCAAUGCUGUUGGCAUUGUUUCAUUUUAACUUCUAUUUGGUAAUGUUCAAUUUUCUGAAUGUGUGGAUCACUUAGCAUGAGCAGAAAACCCUGCAAAAGUGGUGGAGGUAAGGAAAGGUUGUAAUAAUGGUUACAAAGCAGGAGCAGCAUAAGGCUACCUAGGUGGUACGGUUUGAGUUGUUUUGGGAAAGCCCUUCUUAAUCACCUCUCUCUAGGACACCAC
ensembl:lncRNA LINC01133 long intergenic non-protein coding RNA 1133